AAUGAACGUUGGCGGCAUGGAUUAGGCAUGCAAGUCGAGCGAGAAGUGUAGCAAUACACGGAAAGCGGCGGAAGGGAGAGUAAUACGUGGGAAUCUGCCCUUAGACCUGGGAUAGCAGCGGGAAACUGCUGGUAAUACCAGAUAAUGUCUAUGGACCAAAGGUGUGAUUCCGUCUAGGGAUGAGCCCACGUCCUAUUAGCUAGUUGGUAGGGUAAUGGCCUACCAAGGCGAUGAUGGGUAGCGGGUGUGAGAGCAUGACCCGCCUCACUGGGACUGAGACACUGCCCAGACACCUACGGGUGGCUGCAGUCGAGAAGCUUCGGGAAUGGGCGCAAGCCUGACCGAGCGAUGCCGCGUGCGGGAUGAAGGCCUUCGGGUUGUAAACCGCUGUCGAGGGGGAGCAACUUCCAUAGAGUUAUCUUUAUGGAUUGAGUGAUCCCCGGAGGAAGGACGGGCUAAGUUCGUGCCAGCCGCCGCCGUAAUAC
rnacentral:rRNA from 1 species